GACGAACGCUGGCGGCGUGCUUAACACAUGCAAGUCGAACGGAAAGGCCCUGCUUUUGUGGGGUGCUCGAGUGGCGAACGGGUGAGUAACACGUGAGUAACCUGCCCUUGACUUUGGGAUAACUUCAGGAAACUGGGGCUAAUACCGGAUAGGAGCUCCUGCUGCAUGGUGGGGGUUGGAAAGUUUCGGCGGUUGGGGAUGGACUCGCGGCUUAUCAGCUUGUUGGUGGGGUAGUGGCUUACCAAGGCUUCGACGGGUAGCCGGCCUGAGCGGGUGACCGGCCACAUUGGGACUGAGGUACGGCCCAGACUCCUACGGGAGGCAGCAGGGGGGAAUAUUGCAGAAUGGGCGGAAGCCUGAUGCAGCAACGCCGCGUGCGGGAUGACGGCCUUCGGGUUGUAAACCGCUUUCGCCUGUGACGAAGCGUGAGUGACGGUAAUGGGUAAAGAAGCACCGGCUAACUACGUG
rnacentral:rRNA from 1 species